AGUUAAAGUUGAAGUUGAAAUUGAAAUUGAAAUUAAUGAAUGGGCAACGAAGAAACAGGGUUUCAGACUAGUAGCAGUUACGGAGUCACUAUAACAUGAUAAAAUUUAACAGAUUAGAAAUGGGAUUUCGCAGUGACAUCAAACAUUGUAAUUUCGCAGAACUUUCUUCCUCUAAUUACCAUUUUGUUUCUGGAACAAUAUACCCACACCCAAAAAAAAAAAAAAAAAAAAAAAAAAAAAAAAAAAAAAAAAAAAAAAAAAAAAAAAAAAAAAAAAAAAAAAAACCAAAAAAAACAAUAAGCAAAAUCAAUAACAAAUACGACAGGUAACACAUGAAUAUUUGAGGUGAAAGGUAUUAGAUGUAUUUCCUGAUUACAAAAAAGAAGCAGAAGACCACCUCUCAAAAGCUGUAAGUCAGAAAAAAGUUUCAAUCCUGGUUGUUUUAUGUGCUACACUGCUCAGGCUGAGGGUUACGUUUUGAAAUUGGCUGAUGUUAUUCCAGGUGAAGUUGAAUCCAUCUCUGGCAGAUGCUUGGCUCUGUUUAGGUAACUGCAUUUGGAAAAAUGGAGAUCUACCUUCAGCAAAAAACUGCUUUACACUUGCACUAAACAAGGUUACGUUUUUGAGUUAUGAUAUAUUUCCAUUGUUUCUCCAAUUUCAGCAGUGAUGUGUGCUUUUAUUUCUGCUUUUAUUUUUGACAUAUUUCCAUUGGUUUGGCUCCUUGAUCACAUCUAUUUUCUGGUUUAAUUUUAUAUCCUUGUUCUUAGCUAGUUUUCGUUAUGUGAAUGGAAAUUUAUAAUUUCUUUUAUUGUCUUUUAAAGAACAUUAUUGUCAAUGAAAAUUUUAUUUUUGUGUCAUGCAUGAAAUUGACAUCCUACUUCUUAUGCAUUUAAUUUUCAUCGCCUGUAACGAUUGGUUCUGUUAUUUAUUAUAUUUUGGUUUAAAUUUAUUACUAUUCUGGAAUGCAUAAAAUUGUUGUGAUCUUUCCUUGUGAUUUUUAUAUUCAUUGGUAGCGUAAUCAACAGUUUACAUUGACACUUGGUUUGUGGUUCCAUAAAUGCAAGAUCUUUGUCUUUGUGCUUUGCUUUGGAUUGAUUUUCUCAAAUUCUGCUGGUACAUGAACUAUUAGACCAUUAUGAUACGAUCAAGUCUGCUUUUCUUAGCUUUUGGUUCCGGUUUCGUUGCAAUUGUAUGACUUCAAUCUGUGACCUCUGUUUUUGUCAUAAGAAUUGUGGCCUGUCUAUUUUUAACAAUCAACUUUACUUUUUUAUGUAUUGAAGGGCAUUAUUUGAGUGCCUCAGCACAGAUGUGGGCUAGCACUCACAAUGACAAUCUCAAAGAGAAAAUGUAUGUAGUUGUUUCUGCGCUAUCUGCCUCUCGAGAUAAAAUGGGUACAGGAUAUCUUUCUGCUUUCCCUUCUGAACAAUUUGACCGUUUCGAAGCUAUAAAACCUGUUUGGGCACCAUAUUACACCAUUCACAAGAUAAUGGCAGGUCUUUUGGAUCAAUACAUAUUGACCGAAAAUGCUCAAGCUUUAAAGAUGUUGACAUGGAUGGUUGACUACUUUUACAACAGUGUGCUGAACUUGAUAACAAAGUACAGUGUUGAAAGGCACUAUUUAUCAUUAAAUGAAGAAACUGGUGGCAUGAAUGAUGUCCUUUAUAAGUUGUAUGCAGUAACGGGAGAUUGGAGGCAUUUAUUGUUGGCUCACCUUUUUGAUAAACCCUGCUCUCUACGAUUGCUCGCGGUAAAGAGACAGAUACUAGUCACACACUGAUUAUUCAAGAAAAGAACAAAAUUCUAUGUGGAAAUUAUGCCAAGCAAUGUUGCGAAAAGGUUGAAUUUGGUGUGGAUCAGAUUGAUAAAGCCAGUGACCCUCUGAAAAUCAAAUUGGAAGCGGAGAAAAGAAAAGACACAGUAUGCAUCUCUGCCAUAAAUGGUGAUGGACUUUUUCUUUUUGGUGUUGGUCAUGCAAAACAAUAUAUAAUAUAGUAGUUUUUCUAGCUCUUUCAAUCUAAGAAGUAAUUUAAUCAAUUGGGAAUAACAAUGAACCUCUAAGUCAAGCACAUAAGCAAAUUUUCUUCCCAAUACUAUAUAAAUUAAUCUAGACGAGUUGGUUUCUUCUAAAUAAUAGUUUUUUUUUUUUUUUUUUUUUUUUUUUUGUUUUUUCUUUUUUUAAAUCUCUUUGUACUUUAGUUAUUCAUAAGCAAUUGUCUCAUUUGCUUUUAUUAUUCUUUUUGUGAUUAAUAAUUUGAAUUCAAUUUUAGCUUAUUUGGGAUGGCAUUUAUAUAUAGGAUUGCACAUAGCUUGUGUAUUGAAUUGGAUUAAAAGGUAAGUUUUUUUCAACUUAAGAAUGUGCUUGAUUCUUUGAAACCGUAUGUCUAAUAUUUUGUUUGUAAUUUUGCUGUUUGCCUGUGAAUAUGG